CUUGUCUCAAAGCUUAAGCCAUGCAAGUCUCAGUACGAGCCUAAUUAAGGUGAAACCGCAAACGGCUCAUUAAAUCAGUUUUAGUUUACUUGAACUCUGACCGAUACGUUGUUGGAUAACUGUGGCAAUUCUAGAGCUAAUACAUGCAACCAAGUCCUGACCAGUUAUGGAAGGGACGCUUUUAUUAGAUCAAAAUCAAUCGGCCUCGUCCGUUUGACCUUGGUGACUCUGAAUAACACGGUAGAUCGCACGGUCUUCGUACCGGCGACCCAUCUUUCAAAUGCCUGACUUAUCAACUGUCGAUGGUAGACUCUACGUCUACCAUGGUUGUAACGGGUGACGGGGAAUCAGGGUUCGAUUCCGGAGAGGGAGCCUGAGAAACGGCUACCACAUCCAAGGAAGGCAGCAGGCACGCAAAUUACCCACUCCCGGCACGGGGAGGUAGUGACAAAAAAUAACGAUACGGGACUCAUCCGAGGCCCCGUAAUCGGAAUGAGAAC
rnacentral:rRNA from 1 species